GUUUUCUUUCCACCUAACAAUUCAGCCCGAUCUAACUAAAACGUUGAACUCCAUUUUAGUUGCUUUGAGCUCUCGUCUUCCACCGGUCUCGUCGGCGCCAAGGAUAACGCUUUUCUCAAACUGCAAAACCCUUUUCUACGAUGAUCAACGACCACACACAUCCGUCUGGUCUUGUUCUAUCUAACACCGAAGCAAUUCGCUCAUUUCUGACCUCAGCGUCCAUAGACUCGCAACUUUCCGAUGAACUCCGGCAGAUUGCUUCAGAUCUCGCUUCACAACAAAACAUUCCGUAUAAGCCGCUGAGAGCUAUCUGGUUUGCUAAGGAAUCAUCCGCACGGCCGGACUUGCUUCGUCUUUUGGCUGGAUCGGAGUUCGUCUUGACAAGCCCUAAACCCAGAGAGAAGAGUGAGGAGUUAAAGGCUAGACUGAAGAAGCUUGCAGAUGUAGCAGAGAGGAAGGCUUAUCAGGAACUGGUGAAAGAUAUUGCACCUAAGAAACCAAUUGAGGAGCCUUUCUCUUCCUACAAGGAUCAGCUCGGAUUUGGUUUACAUGUCGUGUUGAUAAUGUUUACUGGCUAUCUGGUUGGAUAUGCUUUAUUCCGAGCAUUGUUUAGGCAUGAUCCAAUCAUGAGUGCUGCUGGAGGUAUCCUUGGAUUAGUUUUCGGCAUGCUUGUAGAAACACUUCUUUUCAUUAUUCGAUCGUCCAAUUAUGAUAAUCGGUCUUCAUCAUCUUCCCAUUCUAAGCUAAAGAAGAGUCAGUAGAGUUACUCCUCUUGAGGUUUGCCUUUCUUUAUACUUAAAUUGAACCCAUGGCAUCCUUGCCUACUGUUUCUAAUAUAACCCAUUGAGUUAACUUUUGCCCUGUGCUGUAUAACUAAGCAUGAACAAGUAAUAAGGCCUUGUUAAUGUGCUUGCUGCAAUUUACUUGUAUAAAGACGCGUUCCUCACAUCAUUUAUCAGGAGAUGAAAUGAUUUUCUUGCACUCUCUUCAGCCUAUGACCACAAGAAAAUGAAAGCGCGAUCAUGUUCUUCAAAUAAUAUUCUUUUGGAAAGAAACGUUAUUGUAAAGAUUUUUAACAAAGAACAAUCAGUUUGAAAUUUGAAGGUAGACCUGGUUGUCCAUCUGGUUGGACGUUACAGGAUCCACAACACCCGACAGGUUCUCCCUCCUUUAAAGAGUGUCUGCGACAUGAUUUCGAGCUGUAGUAUCGAUACACAUUUCUCGGUUUGGUUCGGUUCGAUUGCUUUCACCUUAAACUUCAACACGGGAUUCUGAAGGGCUACUUCCUUCCCGAUAUGCACAAAUCAUGUGGAGGUAUUAUGUUGAGGAUAUAACUCCUUGAAUUCUCACUAGAUUUCGGACUUUUAGAGAGGUUUGGGGGUCAACAUGAGAUGGUAUAUCAUGGAUUGGUAGUUUGGAGGUCCAUUAUCCUAUCUCACUGAUUUUAAUUAUUUGUGGGCCAAUUUUUGGAACAUGUUUCGUAUCUCAUCGUCAUUUUCCUUCCAUGUAUUGUAUGUCACCGUUUCUCUCAACCAUACUCGAUUGUUCAUAUUCGAUCAUUCUCGAUCAUUCAUACUCUAUCAUGCAUCGUACCCGAUUAUGUUUGAACAUACUUGAUCGUUCAUACUUGAUUAUGGUUGAUCAUACUCUAUCAUUCGUACUCGAUUAUGCUUGAAUAUAUUCGAUCAUACUCGAUCAUAUUCGUGUAUUUUAUACUUUUGCAAUAUUAUGUAUUAUUAAUUAUUUUAUUUAUUAAACUGUCCACCAACUUUAAUAAUGACGGUUCUGAUUGUUUAUUAAUUUACACUACCCAUUCAACCACUUCAUUAAUGAGUCAACCAAUUUAUUAAUUGAAUUUGAGUUCAUUCAUGAUGUAAACUUAAUAUUCUGAGGCGGGUCACACUUUUUUUUAAAAAAUAUUUGUUGGGGUUAUUAUUAAUAUUCAACAACCACCCCUCUCCCUUCACUUUUCCUAUAAAACAACAUUGGUCAUUCUCUAUUUACUGAGAGUCUCCACUAUCCAAGAUUUAUUUUGUCAAUUUGGUGAGUUGUUUAACUUCGGUUUCUUCUUCUCUACUUUCUAAUGUUUGGUUCUGUUAUUUUCGCAUUAGUAAGUUUCUAACUUUUGGUUGUUUGGUGGGUGGUAGGGUGCCUCAUUGUACUUUGAUCUGGUAACUCGUGACCUACAUCCAUAUCGUACUUCAUAGAAGCAAUGUAGCCCAAACUAAUACGAAAUAUUCAAUUAGUUUGAAGUUGGUGUGUUACUUCUUUUUGUAUUCCCCUAUAUUUCAUUUCAGUUGUAUUUUUUGUUAUUAAUUUUGGUGUGUUACUUAUAUGAUGGAUAUAUUACAUGGACUGUUUUUUUGGUGUUA